rnacentral:rRNA from 1 species
UACGUAGGGUGCAGGCGUUAAUCGGAAUUACUGGGCGUAAAGCGUGCGCAGGCGGUUUGCUAAGACAGGUGUGAAAUCCCCGGGCUUAACCUGGGACCUGCAUUUGUGACUGCAUCGCUAGAGUACGGCAGAGGGGGAUGGAAUUCCGCGUGUAGCAGUGAAAUGCGUAGAUAUGCGGAGGAACACCGAUGGCGAAGGCAAUCCCCUGGGCCUGUACUGACGCUCAUGCACGAAAGCGUGGGGAGCAAACAGG